rnacentral:misc_RNA from 1 species
AACGCACAUUGCGCCCUCUGGUAUUCCGGGGGGCAUGCCUGUUCGAGCGUCAUUAUAACCACUCAAGCUCUCGCUUGGUAUUGGGGUUCGCGUCUUCGCGGCCUCUAAAAUCAGUGGCGGUGCCUGUCGGCUCUACGCGUAGUAAUACUCCUCGCGAUUGAGUCCGGUAGGUUUACUUGCCAACAACCCCCAAUUUUUUACAGGUUGACCUCGGAUCAGGUAGGGAUACCCGCUGAACUUAA